GCGGGAAUGGCGAAAUUGGCAGACGCACCAUCUUGAGGGGGUGGCGCCACACAGGCAUGUGGGUUCAAGUCCCACUUCCCGCACAA
rnacentral:tRNA from 1 species